rnacentral:rRNA from 1 species
UACGAAGGGGGCUAGCGUUGUUCGGAAUUACUGGGCGUAAAGGGCGCGUAGGCGGUGCAUCAAGUCAGGCGUGAAAGCCCCGGGCUCAACCUGGGAACCGCGCUUGAGACUGGUGCGCUCGAGUUCGGGAGAGGAUGGUGGAAUUCCCAGUGUAGAGGUGAAAUUCGUAGAUAUUGGGAAGAACACCGAUGGCGAAGGCGGCUCACUGGCCCGGUACUGACGUUGAGGCACGAAAGCGUGGGGAGCAAACAGGG